AUAAGUUGUGAUAGAUCAAAUGUAUGGCUCAUGUGAGUGUAUAGCUGUAAUACUUUCAUGCAUUUUCUAGAUAAAAAAGGUUUAGCUCCAUUGUACUUUUACAUUUGAGUCAUUUAGCAGAAGCUCUUAUCCAGAGCGACUUACAGUAGUGAGUGUAUACAUUUUCAUACUCCCGUAAAUCUCUCCAGGAUUUCACAUGGAUUUUUUUCAUAUUUGCGGAUAAAUAUGCUAGAUUUUGCAGCGACAAUUAUGACAUUUUGCAUAGUAAUAUGCAAUUGUUUUGUCCAUUUGUUGCUAAAAUGCGCUGACAAGGGAAAAAAAUGUGUUGACGAGUCGCUUGAUUGCACCAUAUUAUGCAGUAAAUGUGCGGUGAUUGGUUGAAAUUGCGAGCCCUCUUUUUGUACUGUGGUAAUGGGUCAGUUCUAUGCGAUAAUAUUGUGAUGUGACUAUUUUAUGCAGAAAUAGUUUGGUGAUUGAUCAAAUUUGUAAGCCCUCACAUAAUAUGCAGGGAAUUGUUGAUUUUGCAACCAAAACAAUGCGAUGGAAGAGUCCUGGAGUAACCUCCCAGUAAUCCCUGUGACGGAGUGUAGGUUAAGAUUGGGUUGUAAAACAGAGUAUCUGAGCGAGACGUUCCUACCUGUCAGCUAGUAAUUGUUCUGUAUGGUGACAUGAGCAGAGUGGCCUGACUUCUCCCACUUAUUACAGAUGUCCGACUUAGAUAUGUUGAGCAUCCUGCUAUGAUGUCUUAUCACCAAGCCGGAACACUCCGAGGCCAACCCUCAGUGCGAGACUGGCAGGCGGCGGGUGGCUGAGCCCGAGACCCCUGCUAUUCACAAUAACAGUGGAGGCUGGCUGAGCUGGGACUUUGGGAGUGGAAGAGCUAAUAAGAAGGAGGUUCAUCUACCUGAGGACAGACAGAUCUAUUGUCUGGGAUCCAACUCUGCACAGAAGAAGUGUGUACCACCACCUCCACCGAUGGGGACAUAUGGAUAUCAGGGGAACACUGGCAGUGUCCCCAAAGGAGUGAAUCCCUACUCUAUGAAAGCAGGAGGAUAUUGCUUUAGAAUACAUGUGGUUUAACCAAAACUGUGUCAGCCAAUCAUAGAUGUCCCUGGUGAUCUCCUGCUAACACCUUUCCCACUGCCAGACGGUCUAUGGGGCAGCAGAUACCCCACAAUACAUGACAAUGAUGGGACCAACUCAAAGCCUCCAAGCCAUGGGCCUGGACUGCUUACUAGACAGCUCUCUGGCUCGCUCCCUCCUUCACACUUUGACCGCAUGUCACCAAUGGUUGUGCCACCUGACACUCUACCCUACUGAGGCCAUUUUCCCAAAUUGGAUUUGCCAUACAUAGAUUUUUUCAGCAUUAAACAUGUUUUAAAAGAUGAUCUUUUAAUUAAAUCUCUCCUUUGUGUCCUCAUGUUCACAUUCAUUUGAUGUGUUCUAUCAUCAUUUACAAUUCUUAUUGCUUCUGCAUUUACGUUACUUACUGUACAGACAAAUAAAUAUUAUAUGCAGAUGUUUUAUUUUAGACAUUACAAAAACCUUUUUUCAUGCUUUCUGGAUUUCUUACAUUUACUUACUGUACAGGCAAGUAUGUUUUAUACACAUAUUUAAACAAAACAAAAACAUUUUGUUUAUGUAUUCCGUAGAUGGCGGCAGGGUAGCCUAGUGGUUAGAGUGUUGGACUAUUAACCGCAAGGUUGCAAGUUCAAACCCCCGAGUUGACAAAGUACAAAUCUGUCGUUCUGCCCCUGAACGAGGCAGUUAACCCACUGUUCCUAGGCAGUCAUUGAAAAUAAGAAUUUGUUCUUAAUUAACUGACUUGCCAAGUUAAAAAAAAGACACAAUGAAAUAUAUUUAGAUGCAUGUUCAGUUCCUAAAUGUCAAUAUUUUUAUUUUCUGUGCCACAUGUUUAUGCCCAUUUAUGUACAUCCUGUAUACACCUCACACACAUGGUCAGGGGCUUAAAAAAGAAGAAAACAGUAACAUGUCAGAUAUAGUUUACAUUUUUGAGUUUGCAUCCCAAGAUGACACUUUAAAUAUUUCACAGAAGACUGAAAUGUAACAAAACACCCAUUGUGUUUAUUGAGAUGUAUAUUUCCCUCCAGUGAUUCCCCAACAUCUUGUCAACAUGGGACCCAAGAAUGGAGCAGAUAUCUUAUACCAAC